CCAACAAUGGACAAACCUUUAAAGACCAUUUGCUACUGUGCCUCCUUUACAUAAUGCACUUCAUCAUGGAUACUGAUGUUAAGCCAGUUGAAAAUUUUUGCCAAUCCAAGACAUUGGGAGCAUGAUCACAUUUUAUAAGCGGCUAACAAAGUGCCAGCAGUCGCGGUCAUACUUUAGCUUAAAGUAAAAAUUUAAAGAAUACUAUAAGUAAAAAAGAAAUUUUUAUAGUGAAAUAUAAAAGUUUAUCAAUAAUACCUUUAUAAUUUUAAAUAAAUAUAAAAACUGAACCCAAACAGGGAUUAGAUACCCCUUUAUGCAGUGAGCAAUUAUCCUAUUCUAGGUAGUAAAAUUUCCAGGAUUCAAACCCAAAUAGCAUGGCGGUAGUUAAAAUAUUUAGGGGAACUUACUAGUUUAAUGAUAACCACCAAGAUCAUGCACGGUACUUAAUAUUUUACAUACCGUCGUCGUCAGAUAUACUAUAAUAGAAUAUCACAAUAUUAAUAUUAUAAAUAAAUAAAAGGACAGAUCAAGGUGUAGACUAUGGCACCGUUUUAGCGAGUUACUAUAACAGUUUUUUUCACUAAGCAACUUUAAGGUUGCUUACCUGCAGGACUUAAAAGUAAUAUUUAUUAUGUAUAUUAUAUGAAUACCUUUUUAACUGUGC
rnacentral:rRNA from 1 species